rnacentral:rRNA from 1 species
CGUGUAGGCGGCCUCGUAUGUCUGGUGUGAAAGCCCCGGGCUCACCCCGGGAAGUGCACUGGAAACUGCGAGGCUAGAGUCCCGGAGAGGGAGGUGGAAUUCCAGGUGUAGCGGUGAAAUGCGUAGAUAUCUGGAAGAACACCGGUGGCGAAGGCGGCCUCCUGGACGGUGACUGACGCUGAGACGCGAAAGCGUGGGGAGCAAACA